rnacentral:rRNA from 1 species
UACAGAGGUCCCAAGCGUUGUUCGGAUUCACUGGGCGUAAAGGGCGCGUAGGCGGCCUUCUAAGUCGAACGUGAAAUCCCCGGGCUCAACCCGGGAACUGCGUCCGAUACUGGAAGGCUUGAAUCCGGGAGAGGGAUGUGGAAUUCCAGGUGUAGCGGUGAAAUGCGUAGAUAUCAGGAGGAACACCGGUGGCGAAGGCGGUUCUCUGGGCAUGUCCUGACGCUGAGGAGCGAAAGUGUGGGGAGCGAACAGG